UACGUAGGGUCCGAGCGUUUGUCCGGAAUUAUUGGGCGUAAAGGGCUCGUAGGCGGUUUGUCGCGUCGGGAGUGAAAACUCAGGGCUCAACCCUGAGCGUGCUUCCGAUACGGGCAGACUAGAGGUAUGCAGGGGGAGAACGGAAUUCCUGGUGUAGCGGUGGAAUGCGCAGAUAUCAGAAGGAACACCGGUGGCGAAGGCGGUUCUCUGGGCAUUACCUGACGCUGAGGAGCGAAAGCAUGGGGGAGCGAACAGG
rnacentral:rRNA from 1 species